AUUGAACGCUGGCGGCAGGCUUAACACAUGCAAGUCGAACGAGUGGCGGACGGGUGAGUAAUGCCUGGGAACCUCCCUUAUGGAGGGGGAUAACUACGGGAAACGGUAGCUAAUACCGCGUACCAUCGGAUGUGCCCAAGUGGGAUUAGGUAGUUGGUGAGGUAAAGGCUCACCAAGCCGACGAUCCCUAGCUGGUCUGAGAGGAUGACCAGCAACACUGGAACGGAGACACGGUCCAGACUCCUACGGGAGGCAGCAGUGGGGAAUAUUGCACAAUGGGGGCAAGCCUGACGCAGCCAUGCCGCGUGAAUGAAGAAGGCCUUCGGGUUGUAAAGGACUUUCAGUGGGGAGGCGUUACCAACAGAAGAAGCACCGGCUAACUCCGUGCCAGCAGCCGCGGUAAUUC
rnacentral:rRNA from 1 species